rnacentral:rRNA from 1 species
GAUGAACGCUGGCGGCGUGCCUAAUACAUGCAAGUCGAGCGAACAGAUGAGGAGCUUGCUCCUCUGACGUUAGCGGCGGACGGGUGAGUAACACGUGGAUAACCUACCUAUAAGACUGGGAUAACUUCGGGAAACCGGAGCUAAUACCGGAUAAUAUAUUGAACCGCAUGGUUCAAUAGUGAAAGACGGUUUUGCUGUCACUUAUAGAUGGAUCCGCGCCGCAUUAGCUAGUUGGGAAGGUAACGGCUUACCAAGGCAACGAUGCGUAGCCGACCUGAGGGGGUGAUCGGCCACACUGGAACUGAGACACGGUCCAGACUCCGACGGGAGGCAGCAGUAGGGAAUCUACCGCAAGGGGCGAAAGCCUGACGGAGCAACGCCGCGUGAGUGAGGAAGGUCUACGGAUCGUAAAACUCUGUUAUUAGGGAAGAACAAAUGUGUAAGUAACUAUGCACGUCUGGACGGUACCUAAGCAGAAAGCCACGGCUAACUACGG